rnacentral:lncRNA from 1 species
CAACAUGCAUUUGUAUCUCCCAUCAUCAAGAUAUCACACUCAUGACAAACUUCAAAUUUUAGUCUCAAUGACUUGCAGUCCUCGCCAAAAAGAUAUAGAAUAUAAGAACUCUCAACUCUCAAGUGUAUUAAUUAACAUGGACGUGUAUACGCUCAGUUCAAGCAGAACAAGUACUCAACCAUAAGCUUGUCAAUCGUCUCACCUCUCCACCACUCAAUGUGUGCUCCUAU